CUAUUGGAUAAGAGUUAAAGGGAUGUGGCUCCUUUAGGAGUGUUAUAACCUUUAGCUGUAUACAGUGGUUGGGACUGAGGCUCUCAGCACGCCUUUAUGGCUGGGUUUCGACCACAUACGUGCUUAGGAUGUUGGCAUAAUAGCUUUAAGCGA
rnacentral:rRNA from 1 species